GGCCCCGUAGCUCAGUGGAUAGAGCAUUGGUUUCCUAAACCAAGUGUCGGCCGUUCGAGUCGGCCCGGGGUCGCCA
rnacentral:tRNA from 1 species